rnacentral:rRNA from 1 species
UACGAAGGGGGCUAGCGUUGCUCGGAAUCACUGGGCGUAAAGCGCACGUAGGCGGCUUUUUAAGUCAGGGGUGAAAUCCUGGAGCUCAACUCCAGAACUGCCUUUGAUACUGGGAGUCUUGAGUUCGGGAGAGGUGAGUGGAACUGCGAGUGUAGAGGUGAAAUUCGUAGAUAUUCGCAAGAACACCAGUGGCGAAGGCGGCUCACUGGCCCGAUACUGACGCUGAGGUGCGAAAGCGUGGGGAGCAAACAGG